rnacentral:rRNA from 1 species
AACCUUACUUAUAUUAGUUCUUGUAUAUCGCUGUUUAGUGAAUAUAUUUUAAGAUGAUUUUCUUGAUAAAAAAUUAAUUAAAAUUUCAAGUCAAGGUGCAGUUAUAUAUAAGAUGAAUAAUGGAUUACAAUAAGUUUUAUUUAAUACGGAUGGUUGUUGGAAUAAUAAUUUGAAGGUGGAUUUAAUUGUAAUUUUUUACAGAUUAUGUUGAUGAUUUAGAGCUCUAUAGUAUGUACACAUCGCCC